CUGAGAUACUGGUUGGUCACGUGUGGGUACUCAUUCAAGUGUCUUAUUUACACAAAAUACUUAUUAGACAGGUGCAGUAAAAGUGUAUGAAAGUCGCUACUGAAAAAAUUCAGUAUGAUGCUCAACAUAAUUCUUUACAGCAUAACAUAAAAGCAGCCACAGUAUUCAUUCUUUUAUCACAGAAAAGAUUCCGCUAGAACACGAAUAUCCCUGGACUGCUGGCAGACAAUUUUUUUCCAGUUAACUACUAAAACGAAGCAUGAGACUUCAAAGCUUUCGAUUUAGUCACAUUCUUUGUGGAGGCUCGCCGAGACCAACAGCGGAGAACUUCGCAAGAGGCUACGCGUUGGUCUCGGCAGACAGACAGCAGUCCACCUACACACGUGCGUGGUUAGAAACAAGUUGCAUGGCAAUCAAAGGGACAUAACUGUCAAGCCUCCAAUUAUUCCUUUAAGAGUGCAUUCCCUUGAAGGUUUACAAGAUGCUGUGAGAUGGCGGAUCUGCUUCACAAGCUGCGAAAAUAUAAAGCAUACUUGAAGGUGCAUCCUGAUGGCGAUAAGGUGCUGCCUGUACUUCAGAAGCUUUCCACUCUUCCUAUGUCAAUAGCAACAUUGCAGGAAACUGGAAUUGGAAAAGUGGUUAACGGUUUUCGGAAACAGGAUGGAGAUGUUGGUGAUUGUGCAAAAUCUUUAGUUGCACAAUGGAAGGAUCUGGUGACUGCAGAGGCAAAACAGAGGCAGCAUGAAAGUGAUGAAAGUGGUGAUGACAGAGCUGCUGAAUCAGAACAGGAUGAAAACAGAGAUGAAGCAGCAGAAGAAGAAGAGAGUAUGAGACAUAAUGAAGAGAGUAGUGAUGAAAACCAUUAUCAAGAAACAUAUGAAAACUGUGAGAAUGAAGAUGAGCCUUAUGAUGAUGGAAGAGAAGCUUCUGACAGUUCUGAUCACGUCCAAGAAAGUGAGAAUGAUGAUCAAGAUGACUCUCACUGCAGCAUGCAACAUGAUGACGAAAACAACUCCGAUGAAAGUGAGGAAGAUACUUGUCGCAAAUCCCAUUAUAAAAGCAGACAAGAUGACGAGGAUAUUGGUCAGGCAUUUAAGAUGGGAAAGCUUCACAGUCAUUAUUCAUCCCAUAAUAAUGCCACACUAGAGCACACCUCGACAAAGAGAGAUGCUCGAAGAGAAGUUAAAGAAAAGCAUCGUAGUAGCCACAAGUCUUCAUCUUCAAGUGCCAAACACCACAUUAACCAUGGAGAUUUUGACCGAAACACAGACAUUAAGCACAGCAGUCAUGUUAAAACUGCUGACAGACAGCCAGAUGGACAUCAUGAAAGUGCCUCCAGGCACAAGGAGGACAAGAACAGAUCAUCCUCAAGAAGUAAACAUCCACAUAAAAGUGAGUCUGAAAAUCAGGCUUCUAAGAGUCAUCACCAAAAUUCAUCACGCUCUUCAACGCAUUCUUUGUCAUCCAAAGACCAGACCUCAACAAAAUGUCAUAACAAGGAGGGGUUACACUCAAGCACUUAUCAGUCUUUAUCAAACUCAAGCUUAAAAACUAACAGCUUUUCAUCCCACACUACACCAGAUGACAAGCAGUCUUCUAAAUUAGAAACUCGGCAUUCAGACAGCAGCAAAUCUUUAGGCAACAAAACUGUUUCAUCCAGACUUUCUGAUUCAGGUAGCACAUCCAAACCAACAAAUUCAGGUAGCAGUAAGUCCACAGAUGAGAAGAUUGUUAAGUCUGGUUCAAAGCAUCAGAAUCAUGAAAAAUCCAGCAAACCAAUGCCAACGUCUGGCCUGCGGCAUUCAGGUGAAAAAGAUUCAUCUGCAAGAAAAAAUAUUUCCAAGACAGAUCAUGGAUCAAGCAAAGAUAAGGAAAGACAGAAACACAAAGAAGGACAUUCCUCAGAAAGCAGGCAGGCAUCCUCUCAAGACAGACAUUCAAAACAUGUUGCAGAACCACAAAGGCAAACUUUAGGCCAAGCUAGCAAAUCUGGCAGGAGUAACCCACUUUCAGUCAAAGAGACCUGCAGACCUCAUCUUGAAAGUGAAGAGGAGGAGAGAGGAGGAACAGCAGAAUCCUGUGAUGAUUAUGAGGAAUACAUUGACAGGUGGGUAGAGGAUGGUGUUGUUGAGUACAACCCUAGUGCUGUUAAGCCAAAGGCUGCAAAGAAGAAGAGGCUGUCAACAUCUGAAUCGGAAAGAAGUCAAAGCAUUGAAGACUACGAAGAAUAUAUAAGUAAGCAGGCUGCGCAUGCCUCUGCAGAUUUUGUAGAGUACACCCCUGGGCCUGUGAGCAAAGACAGUGACAAAAACCACUCUCGGCACAACAAGGACCAAAAAAGUUCUAAACACAGUCAUUCAACAAGUGACAAACAUCAUUCCCGUAGUGACAAGAGCAACUCUAAACUACAGAAAUCUUGUGAAAUACAUUCUGUGGACUACGUUCCAACAAAGAUACAAAGAGACAAAGUCAGUUCACAUGAACCUAAUAAAGCUGCAGAUCCUUUGCACAAAAAAGUCAAGUCUUGUGCCCAUGAGGAGUACACUGUGCUUGAAGACAGUGACGGUGAGAAUGAGAAUGCUGAAUACAUCCCAAGCCCCAUCAAACAAGGAAAAGAGCGUAAGCCAGUAUUCGAGGUCUUCAGUGGUGACGAUGAACAUUUGGAUACAGAAUGCAGGAGUAGAGAAACAAAGACCAAGACUAAACAUAAGGAGCAGGUUCAAGAUGAAAAGCUACAUUACGGAAAUGAGCAAAGGAAAUCCUCCCAUUCCUUAUCCUCACAGAACUCGAGCAAAAAUUAUAAUGAUGAAAAACAAGUAGACAGGAAAGUGCGUUACGAUGGGAAAAUUUUUAGUGAACCAAAGCAAAAUUUUACAAUGCACUCAAAGUCAACAGGCUCAGGAAAAAAUACAGAGAAGCAAAAACAUGGUGAAAGUCAAGACACAGAAAGCAGGAAGCCGAGCGAUAGGAAAUCCAAGCUUGAUUCACAUGUCACCGGAACAUCCAAGAGUGAUCGGAAUGUCAAAGGUGUUCCAUCCCAUUUAGGUUCUUUGGAUACAAAGAAAGAUAGCACAUCUCAUGGCAAGGGCACUACAUCUUCAGCCUCGAAGCCCAAAAGCAAGUCUCAUCUUGUGAGUGAGGCUACUGAAUAUAGCCUCUUCAGCUGUCCAGAUGAUCACACCAUCAAAACAAGCAUCAAAAAGGAAUCUAAAGUUCCUGCAUCUUCAUCUGUUCGUCAUGCAGACAAAAGCAAAUCUUAUGACAAAUCUGUAGUAAAAGACAGCAGCAAGGUGCAGGGUAGACAUUCAAAAACCUUUCCGGAUGAAAAAUCUUCACAAGACAAUAAAUUGUCAUCAGAAAAGACCUAUCACAGUGUCAGCAGAGACAAACACAGUGAACACAAACAAAUAUCAAAGUCAAAGGAAAUUGUAGACAAAAUCUCUUUCAAGCCAAAGGACAGAGAUAUCAGUGAUGAUCACGAACACAAGGGAAAGUCUUUCAAAACAAAGAACAGUGAGGUCGGUGACAGAAAGUCUGAUAUCGCAGAAUAUUCCAUGCCUGUUGAUGACGGCGUUUCCUUUGAAGACUUUAUGAACUAUGAUGAAGCAUCUGUCAAGAAGAAGAAGAAGACAGCAGACAAAUCUUCAAAGAUUAAGGAACCUUCAAGGAAAAGUGAAAAGACUUCUCCUGUGCCUGCUAGAGAGAUUAAAAUCACAAAUGAAGAUAUUUUGAACAUGCUACCAGAGACGAGUGCCAACUAUAGACCUUUCCGAUUUCACCCCAUUGAUGAAGAAAGACACAAGGAAAAGGAAGGCAUCUAUGUGGACCCCAUGCUGAUUGGAUCAAAAACCACCUCUCGUACAAAAGUUUAUUCAGGGCAGCGUCAUGGUUUGACGGGUGUGGCUGGCAUCUUAUGUUGAUUUCUAAAUUUCUCAUAUAACGAAGGCCAAAAGACGAAAGUGUAUUAUGAAGGCCUGUAUCAUUAAAUUAACCUAGCAACAGCUGUUUGUAAAAGAGGUGAAGUCGUUGUUCGACCUUUGCACUCAGGUCCUGAUUGACAACAUAGAUGCCAUUGACUAUGUUGGCGGCAUUCCCUAUGAUAUCUUGAGGCCUGUGUUGGAGAGAGCUACACCUGCACAACUG
rnacentral:misc_RNA from 1 species